AUAAGUGCGCCAGUCGCGGCCGAUGACCCGCGCCAGGAACAGCCCCGAAAUCAGGAAGAAAUCCGGCAUCCGGAAUGGUUUCGCGAACUCGACCAGCAGGUGCAUGAAGCCCUGCUUGCCGGCGGCCNNNNCAGGGUUGAGUGCAUCAUCACCACCAUGACGAUGCAGAUGCCCUUGGCAUAGUCGACCCAGUCGAUCCGCUCGGAGGCGGGCAGGGCGCGCGUGCCGGAUGUGCCGUUGCUGCUCAUGAUGUCCCGUUUCGGUCCAGUGGCGCGCC
rnacentral:misc_RNA from 1 species